ACUUGCUCUGGGAAAAGCCAGCUAUGCUGUGAGGCCACUGAGGCAGCCCUAUGGAGAGGGUAACAUGGGCAACUGAGGCCUUUUGCCAGUAACCCAACUAUCACUGGAAGCGGCUCUUCCAGGCCCAGUCAAGCCUUCAGACGACUGCAGUCUCAGCUGACAUCCUGACUGCAACCUCAGGAGAGACCCUGAGCCAAAACCACUCAGAAGGGAGACCAAUAAGUAACUCCUUCUACGGCUUAGACUGCCAGUCCUGAUACCACUCAUUCCUGGGAAAGCAAUCCUCCCCAGGUGGAAACUGCAUUUUCUACUUCAAAGCUAAGAUAAAUGGAGGUUCCCAAAGAGGGCCUCUUUUAAAAAUGGAAGAUAGAGAGCAUAUUUGCACGUCAAUGUGGUCCAGCAGAGAAAAAGGGAGAGGCAAGCUACAGAAAGGAAGUCUUUGAGGGAAUGUGCUUCAGAGAAUAAGCAGAAGAGGGAGCCUGUGAUAGGAACCGGGGACACCAGCUUAAUGGGAAGGAGAGCAGAGGACGUGACUAACCUGACUCACUGGUCAGGCAGUCACUCAGGUUCGUCAGGUUCCUGCUUCUCCAUGCUGACUGCUGCCAGCAUCCUGGGGCUUCACUCUGGUUUUGCAAUUUGGUAUACUCGAAUUCAAAGAAAUUACUCUCUAAUCCUCUUCGGUCAUCCACUGUUGGGAGCACAUUUAAGACCCAUCGGAACUUUCCACCCCGCCUCGGGAGAAGUUUCAGUGGCAACUGAAGGCAUGCAAAUUUCAUCUCUCCCUUAACUUCCCAUCUAUGCUGAUCAUGUGAAACAGUGCCCCUGAGUGGACAAUCACUGCAUAUGCAUUCUCUACAUUUGGAAUAAUAGGAAGACUAUUUUGAAGCGCCUGGUUAAAAUAAUAACAAUAAAAAAU